AAACAGAUUUUCGUAGCAUAGUGGAAAAAUAAGAAACAGGAAUGUUUUUAAAAUAUAAUUUCUACGAGUAUACAUUAGACAUAUUUGAAACUUAACUUUAAUACAAAAUACCUCGAACAGUUACGAUGCACUUACAUCUUUUGCGGUGUAUCAAGACAUACCGGAUUCCUAACAUCUAUUAACUUUUGUUAGAAAGUUUGAAUAUAAAACCCAAUUAAUUUAUAGACUUAUAAAUCAUAAAAAAGCUACUGUACAAGC